rnacentral:rRNA from 1 species
UGGGGGAUAUUGCGCAAUGGGGGGAACCCUGACGCAGCAACGCCGCGUGAAGGAAGAAGGCCUUCGGGUUGUAAACUUCUGUUCUUAGGGAAGAAGACAGUGACGGUACCUAAGGAGCAAGUCACGGCUAACUACGUGCCAGCAGCCGCGGUAAUACGUAGGUGACAAGCGUUGUCCGGAUUUACUGGGUGUAAAGGGCGUGUAGGCGGGAUAUCAAGUCAGCCGUGAAAUACCGGGGCUCAACUCCGGGGCUGCGGUUGAAACUGAUAUUCUUGAGUGUCGGAGAGGAAAGCGGAAUUCCUAGUGUAGCGGUGAAAUGCGUAGAUAUUAGGAGGAACACCAGUGGCGAAGGCGGCUUUCUGGACGAUAACUGACGCUGAGGCGCGAAAGUGUGGGGAGCAAACAGG